GUUGAACGCUGGCGGCGUGCCUAAUACAUGCAAGUAGAACGCAGUUGCGAACGGGUGAGUAACGCGUAGGUAACUGCCUCAUAGCGUGGGAUAACUAUUGGCAACGAUAGCUAAUACCGCAUCCUGUGCGAUGGACCUGCGUUGUAUGAGCUAGUUGGGCAGGCACAGGCUCACCAAGGCGACGAUACAUCGCCGAUCUGCGAGGGGGACCAGCCACACUGGGACUGAGACACGGCCCAGACUCCUACGGUAGGCAGCAGUAGGGAAUCUUCGGCAAUGGACGGAAGUCUGACCGAGCAACGCCGCGUGAGUGAAGAAGGUUUUCGGAUCGUAAAGCUCUGUUGUUAGAGAAGCGGUAACGAACCAGAAAGGGACGGCUAACUACGUGCCAGCGGCGCGGUAAUUC
rnacentral:rRNA from 1 species